AUUGAACGCUGGCGGCAUGCUUUACACAUGCAAGUCGGACGGCAGCACAGAGAAGCUUGCUUCUUGGGUGGCGAGUGGCGAACGGGUGAGUAACAUAUCGGAACGUACCGAGCAGUGGGGGAUAACUAAUCGAAAGAUUAGCUAAUACCGCAUAUCUUCUGAGGAAGAAAGCAGGGGACCAUUUGGCCUUGCGCUGUUUGAGCGGCCGAUAUCUGAUUAGCUAGUUGGUGGGGUAAAGGCCCACCAAGGCGACGAUCAGUAGCGGGUCUGAGAGGAUGAUCCGCCACACUGGGACUGAGACACGGCCCAGACUCCUACGGGAGGCAGCAGUGGGGAAUUUUGGACAAUGGGCGAAAGCCUGAUCCAGCCAUGCCGCGUGUCUGAAGAAGGCCUUCGGGUUGUAAAGGACUUUUGUCAGGGAAGAAAAGGGCGGGGUUAAUACCCCUGUCUGAUGACGGUACCUGAAGAAUAAGCACCGGCUAACUACGUGCCAGCAGCCGCGGUAAUACGUAGGGUGCGAGCGUUAAUCGGAAUUACUGGGCGUAAAGCGGGCGCAGACGGUUACUUAAGCAGGAUGUGAAAUCCCCGGGCUCAACCUGGGAACUGCGUUCUGAACUGGGUGACUAGAGUGUGUCAGAGGGAGGUAGAAUUCCACGUGUAGCAGUGAAAUGCGUAGAGAUGUGGAGGAAUACCGAUGGCGAAGGCAGCCUCCUGGGAUAACACUGACGUUCAUGCCCGAAAGCGUGGGUAGCAAACAGG
rnacentral:rRNA from 1 species